GCGAUCCUUGAAAUGAGUAAGACUCAGAGUUGUUAAAGUUUUUAAAGCGCAGCAGCAGCAGCGGCGGCGGCUCCUGGGGAAAAGGCAGCAAGUUGGAGGGAGCCUGGCCAAGCAGAAGAUCGUGCUGAGCUGAACUCAGCUGGGGUUACAAGCUCAAGGCAAGAAUUCUGACGCUCCCAAGAGACCGGAUUUACCUCCCUGGCCCAGCUCGCCCUACAAUGCGGACUUUCCCCCUCCAGGUCAGGACUGGAGUUUUAAAAUAAAAUGGAUGAUCUGACGUUACUUGAUCUUCUGGAGUGCCCCGUGUGCUUUGAAAAGCUCGAUGUCACAGCCAAAGUCCUCCCGUGCCAGCACACCUUCUGCAAACCAUGUCUCCAGAGGAUUUUCAAGGCCCACAAGGAGCUGAGGUGCCCCGAAUGCCGGACCCUGGUGUUUUGCAGCAUCGAGGCACUGCCAGCCAACCUGCUGCUCGUGCGUCUUCUGGAUGGUGUGCGCUCGGGGCAGAGCUUGGGAAGAGGGGGCUCCUUCCGCAGGCCCAGCAUGCUGACCCCACAGGACAGCAGGAAAAGCAGGACUAACCCCAGAGGUCUGCAGUCCAGCCCUUUCCGCCUGGUGCCUAAUAUCAGAAUCCACAUGGAUGGGGUGCCACGAGCAAAGGCCUUAUGUAACUACAGAGGGCAGAAUCCUGGUGACCUAAAGUUUAAUAAGGGAGAUGUCAUCCUUCUCCGGAGGCAGCUGGAUGAGAAAUGGUACCAGGGGGAGAUCAAUGGAGUCAGCGGGAUCUUCCCAGCCGGCUCCGUGGAAGUCAUCAAGCAGCUGCCCCAGCCACCCCCACUCUGCCGAGCUCUCUACAACUUUGACCUACGAGACAAAGACAGGAGUGAGAACCAGGACUGCCUGACCUUCCUCAAGGACGAUAUCAUCACUGUGAUCAGCCGAGUGGAUGAGAACUGGGCAGAAGGCAAGUUAGGAGAUCAAGUGGGCAUCUUCCCGAUCUUGUUCGUAGAGCCCAACCUCACUGCAAGACACCUCCUAGAGAAGAACAAAGGCCGGCAGUCAGCCCGCACAAAGAGCCUGUCCCUGGUGCCCUCAUCCUCCCGAGGCAAAGCAGCCAACACACCCACCCUGCGAAGGGGCCCUGGGUCCAGGAGGAAGGGGCCUGGGCAGUUCUCCAUCACAACAGCCUUGAACACUCUCAACAGGAUGGUUCAUUCUCCCUCGGGGCGCCAUAUGGUGGAGAUCAGCACCCCAGUGCUCAUCAGCUCCAGCAACCCCUCUGUGAUCACCCAGCACAUGGAGAAAGCAGACCUUCCUCCCAGCUCUGUGGGGCAGGUCAGCGCUUACCACCCUGUACCUGCCUCCCUGGGACAUUCCACAGCCAUCGUCAGUGUGCCUGGCUCCCAGCAACACCUCCCAGCAAACAUGUUUGUAGCCCUGCACUCCUACUCAGCCCAUGGCCCGGACGAGCUGGACCUGCAGAAGGGAGAAGGCAUCAGGGUCCUGGGCAAGUACCCGGAUGGCUGGCUCAGGGGCGUCUCCUUGGUCACUGGCAGGGUCGGCAUCUUCCCCAACAACUAUGUCAUCCCCAUUUUCAGAAAGACAUCUAGUUUUCCAGAUUCUCGGAGUCCUGGUCUCUACACCACAUGGACAUUAUCCAACUCCUCUGUGUCCUCCCAAGGCAGCAUUUCAGAAGGUGAUCCCCGGCAGAACCGGCCCUUCAAGUCCGUCUUUGUGCCCACCGCCGUAGUCAGCCCUGUGAGGAGCACGGCCAGCCCGGGGACUGUCAGACAGGGCUCUCUUCGGAAAUCCGGGCGGAGCAGCAUGAGAAAGAGUAAGUGGUGGCAGAGAGAUGGAUCCCUACAGAGACCCGUCCAGUCAGGGAUCCCUGCCCUUGUGGUGGGCUCCCUCAGACGCAAUCCCACCAUGGUUGUACGGCCUCAGCAGUUCCAGUUCUGCCAGCCGCAGGGGGUCCCCUCCUCCCCCUCAACGGUGGUGGCAGAAGUGGGACCUAAGCCCACUCCCACUGGGGAGCCUGCCCUCACAUGCGUCAGUAGGGGCAGUGACACCAGGAUCCGCUCCGCAGCCAGUUCCCUCAUCAUGGAAGGCAAGGAAAUCCCCAUCAAGAGUGAGCCUCUACCUAAACCACCUGCGUCUGCCCCACCAUCGAUCCUGGUGAAACCAGAAAACCCAAGAAAUGGCACCGAAAAGCAAGUCAAAACCGUGAGAUUUCAGAACUACAGCCCUCCUCCCGCCAAACAGUACACCUCCCAUCCCACCGCAGGAAAGCCUGAACAGCCCACCACCCCGAAGGGUUCCCAGCCAGAAGCAGCCCCCUCGGGCCCAGAGAUGAACAUCCUAUUCGCCCACCGAAGCGGCUGCCAUUCCGGACAGCAGACAGACCUCCGAAGGAAGUCAAGUUUGGGCAAGACCGUGACCCCGGUGUCCGCCACUUCGGCCACACAGACCGUGUUUCCCAGCAAAUGAAUCUACGGGUGGCUUUUCCCAGACCCCAAAGAGGUGAAUUGCCUUUAAAUACAGUCUGCCUCCACUGAUAGCGCCCUGCCAUUCUUUGGCUACUCAAGCCUGGGUCCUUGUUCUGCUCAUGUUACCUCUGGGAAAGGAAAAGUGGGCGCAGGGAGUCCUGCCCUGGGUAGGAAGAUGAAGCAUGUGGCCUUGCAAACGUAACAAUUUGAGGCAGCAAGGCUACUACUCAGAUCCAGGAGUGGGAGACGGACCUGCCCACCCUUUUCCCUGAAUGGAGUGGGCAGCCUCAUCCCCUGUGUUCUGUGUAGAAUUUCUACGGUGCCCUAAAAGGGACUUCAGCCAGGGGUGUCACAAUGGUGGGAAUGUUGGCAUUGUUUCUUUGACCUCAUCACCGUGUUCUCAACAAGCAUCCGAACAGCCUCUGGGGCCUUUACACUGGCUGCUAGUGGCUGCCAUGUUGUUCCCUCCACUGAGUCUUAAUCCUGGCUGUGAAGGGGACAUUCUGGGAAGGGUGUGAGAUGGAUAUCUGAUCAUUCUGAGAAUCCUCGAAAACCAAAGGGAGUCAGCUUCCUGGAUUUGGUCCAAACAAGAAGACCCUGCCUUGGUCAUCUUCCCAGAAGAAGCUAGGAACACCUGGGAUACGGAAGAGGACACAUGAUCUGCUUGGAUGGAAACUGCUCAGUGGGGAGUUUGUGGACCAUGUGAUAGUCCUCAGACAUCAAGGAUGGCACUGGCAUACCAGCAGGCCGGGCUCUGGGACAGAAGGGCAGUAGGAGAAGAAACACAUCUGUCCUCAACUGGAGCAUCCGUGGGUGGUGACCCAGGAUAGGGACCAGCGUGUGACUCAUGGGCUGUUCCAGGUGCCAGCAAACUCCCACCCCUCCUGUUAUUCUGUCCUUUUGCCGGAGCCAAACUUCAUCUUGCCGGUUUCUCACACCUUGGCACCUCACUGACAAAUGAAAAGACCAAACGUCACAUUCCUUCUGGGUCUGUGACUGGCCAGUCUGCGCAGCUCACCUUUGGAGCAGUGGCGGCCUGACACUCUCCUUUUGGAUAUUCAAGCCAGAGAGGCCAGUGCCUCUUCAUAAAGCCCCUAGCUUUCACCCCCUCUCCUGACUCCCACCCAAGCACCCUGAGUCUGCCCACCACAUCUGUGUUCUUUUCCAAUCCAAUUCCAUGCUAUCUUUCCCCCCUGAAACUGUCUGAUCGAGAGGGUUUCUGUUAGGACAUACUGAUUAAAGAAACGAGGACUUGGUACAUAAGGGAUUUCAGAAGAAAAAUCAUGAUGUAAUGAGAGCUACCACAGACUACAGAGAGGCUAUUGUAUUCUUUUUGUUCAGAAACAAGUCAUUUUAAAGGGCAAGUCAUUCAAUGAUCUUCUAUGCCUCAUUUUAAAAACUCUAAAAUACAAAUUUUACACCCAGUGUGGGGCUCAAACUCACAACCCCGAGAUCAAGAGUCACACGCUUUCCCAACCGAGCCAGCCAGGCACCCCUACCCUCAAAUACAAAUUUUAAAUGAUCUGUGGCAACCAGAGAGAGCCACGGUACCGAUCAAUGCAAAUCAGAAGUUCCCUGAGACUCUUCGAGCCAAUAUAUUCUCAUCAUCUCCACAUCUUAAGACAUCAGUGAGAAUUUCAUUUUUAAAAGCACACGCUGCCCUGAUUAUUAAAGACAAUGGACAAGAACACAGCAGUGUUUGGAUGCGUUGGUUGUUUUAAAGUUCAGGAUUAUAAUUUUGCACUGAAACCUCCUCAUGAAACUGCCUUUCCUGCAGUCUUUGAAGCCUUGUAAGCAGGAGCCAGACCAUGAGCCGAGUGAGGACUAUAUUUGGUGGUUGCAGAAAUGCUUCCUUCUGGGUGAGGCUGGACGUGCAGGGCUCAGACUAGCACCCAUCUCUUGAUUAAAUGAAUCACUGGGACUUUUUAGUCACAGCCUCCUCUCAGUUAACCCCAGGGGAAAGUGAUAAUAAGCAACAACGAGCCAAGAGUAUUGGCUUUAUCUGCCGGGUGGUGAGUGAGAAGCUAAGAGGUAUGGAGAGACCACAGAAAGGAGAAUUCAGGGAUGACACUGCCUCUCACACGUGGUCAGGGAUGCGUGGCCAAUUGUCUGUCAUCCCUUCUCUCUUAACUACUCUGAUUUAGGUUUGUUUCCUUUCCUCUGGGAUGAGUUCAGGUUUGGUUGGCUCCUCCUCUUUUGUCCCAGCAGCAAAGGCUUCAGAGACGCUGCCUUCAGAUUCCGGGAUCUCCUUGUUACUACCAUGAGGCUGUACAGCACACCUAUAAAUAGGUUUCCGUGACUUCAUUUUCCAGAGAAAAGUCAUUUGAAUGUCAGAGGUGGAAGGAAUUUUACUUUUACAGAUGAUGCUUGGCAAGGUGAGGGACAGGCAGGCUGCCCACACAAAAGCAAGUUGUAUAAAAUGGGGUGGUGGGUGGACCACAACUCCGAGUCCCCAGAUCCCAUCAGACCACAUGAGCUCAUUGCAGCCUUGUGUUCAAGGGCCUCUCAUUCCCCUUUGCCGCUGCUCACAUUUUCUUUCUUCCUCGUCUCUUGUUCACAGCAUCAGGAAAUCCCCACUCCUAAUUUGUACACUUGCUGUUUUUUAAGUCUCCGGGAAUUUUCCAUGCCUUAUCAAGUGGAGGGUUUCAUGGAGACUUAGAAUCUGCUUUAGGCAAUAGACCAAAAUAUUUUUUUAAAACGUUAAAUGAAGAAUCUGGUUUGUUGCCAGCCGAACAGAGGCUUGACAAAAGCACCCCUCUCUCCCUGUUUCCUAAAGUUUUCUGAUCCGCCUUUGCACUGUCGGUUCCACCACAGAGAUUCCACCAAGUCAUGGGCCAGCAAGUGGUGGGCGAGCGGGGAAGUGGGUGAGGACAAAUUAGAAUGGCCAGGAUGAGGUCAGCCCAGAGAUUUACCCUAGAAUACCCUAGGAUAGUUGCUAACCACAGAGUCUGGGUUUCAUCCUCUGGAAUUGUUGCUGCUGCUUAUUCCAUGGGGCUCUGGGAGGAGGUGUCGUUUAGGGGAAGAAGCAGAAAGACAAAAUGGAAGGGGAGAAAAAUUCACUCCCCCAUUGAAAUGCAAGCAGAGAACCUAUAGACUCUUGGGUCCUGUUUUUUUAAGUACAGUGUUUUUAAUAGACCGAAAGAGAAUCUUGAUGAGGUAAUAUGUAUGUGAGUGAUGUUUAUAAAAUAGGGUGUAAAAUCUUAAUCAUUAUGGACUGUUGUAUAAAUAAAGCUUAGGUAUAUAAAAUAUAGAAACUUAUAAAAAAUUAUUUUAUAGAGCAGGGAACACGAAAGGACUUUGAAAGUUUUCAUAUCUUUGUUCCAAAAACUAGAAAGUUCCAAGGCUGGCAGCUUAUUUCCUUAGUAUAUUCCACUGUAAAGGCAAGAGGUUUGGUGGGGCUUUAUGUGUUUUCUAGUUUUAUAAUUUAUAACAAUCUGUAUGGAUUACUUUGAAAUGUCUGUUGCUUGUGUGUUCAUGUUGUUUGCCCACAGGGAGACAUCAGAAAUUUGUUCCACACUUUGCAUCUUGGAAAACUAAAAGAAAUUUUCUAGUGAAAAGAAAAAUGCAUAGAACAUGACUUCAGUGUUGGGAAACCCUUGGAUUUGUACCAAUGACAGCUCUUUGCAAGUCUGAGGAAAGGGAACUUUAAUACCAGAGUUGUCUCCUACGUCAAUAUUGGGUGUUGGUUCACUUUUCUCCUGGGAAGAAAGCAUGUAUUUUUGGGUCCCUUUUUCCUCCACUUGACAUGUGGAGGAAACCAGAAGUCAGGGCCUUAAGCUGCCUUGCUUUGGGACCACUCUCCACCAUCAACUUUCAAAGAACUGUCCACAUCAUAUGUCUGUUUUCUGUUCCAUGGUUCCAUGGUAAAACCACUGCUUUUUGGAGCCCAGAGUUUUGUUUGGGUUUGUGGCUCUAAUGAGUUUGCUUUUUACCAGCCAGACUAAAGAGAAGAAUUCAAGGGAAACAGGAGUCGCCUUGCUGGACAGGUCCUCCUGCAGCUCCCACCAGGACAGGAGGCCCACGCCAGAGACCAGGGCCCACAGCACCGUCCGCUCUCCACACAGGGAAGGGCCCAUCAUGCUAAAGUGGAGGCAUUACCCAAGUCCCCUCUGUCAGAACUGCGUACUGUUCCCAGCUGGAAGCUUGUGAAGCCCGAUGUAUGUGUUAGCAUGGAACAAUAAAACCGGUUUAGUUGUC